UACGUAGGUGGCGAGCGUUGUCCGGAUUUACUGGGCGUAAAGCGCGCGCAGGCGGUUCUGUAAGUCCUGGGUGAAAUCGCCCGGCUCAACUGGGCGGGGGCCUGGGGGACUGCGGGACUGGAGGGGCCUAGAGGCCGGUGGAACUCCCGGUGUAGUGGUGAAAUGCGUAGAGAUCGGGAAGAACACCAGUGGCGAAGGCGGCCGGCUGGGGGCGCCCUGACGCUGAGGCGCGAGAGCGUGGGGAGCGAACAGG
rnacentral:rRNA from 1 species